rnacentral:rRNA from 1 species
AGAGUUUGAUCCUGGCUCAGGACGAACGCUGGCGGCGUGCUUAACACAUGCAAGUCGAACGGGUAGCAAUACCAGUGGCGGACGGGUGAGUAACGCGUGAAUAAUCUACCUUGUACACUGGGAUAACACUUAGAAAUAGGUGCUAAUACCGGAUAUGCCCACGACCCGGCAUCGGGAUGGGGGGAAAGCCUUUACGGUACAAGAUGAGUUCGCGUCCCAUUAGCUAGUUGGUGAGGUAACGGCUCACCAAGGCUGCGAUGGGUAGCCGGCCUGAGAGGGUGAACGGCCACACCGGAACUGAGAACGGUCCGGACUCCUACGGGAGGCAGCAGUGGGGAAUAUUGGGCAAUGGACGGAAGUCUGACCCAGCAACGCCGCGUGAAGGAAGAAGGUCUUCGGAUUGUAAACUUCUGUCGUGAGGGACGAAGAAUGACGGUGCCUCAUAAGAAAGCCACGGCAAACUACGUGCCAGCAGCCGCGGUAAUACGUAGGUGGCGAGCGUUGUCCGGAAUGACUGGGCAUAAAGGGAGAGUAGGCGGACAUUUAAGUCAAAUGUGAAAGCCCCG